rnacentral:rRNA from 1 species
UACGAAGGGGGCUAGCGUUGCUCGGAAUCACUGGGCGUAAAGAGCUCGUAGGCGGCUUGUCACGUCGGGUGUGAAAGCCCGGGGCUUAACCCCGGGUCUGCAUUCGAUACGGGCAGGCUAGAGUGUGGUAGGGGAGAUCGGAAUUCCUGGUGUAGCGGUGAAAUGCGCAGAUAUCAGGAGGAACACCGGUGGCGAAGGCGGAUCUCUGGGCCAUUACUGACGCUGAGGAGCGAAAGCGUGGGGAGCGAACAGG